rnacentral:rRNA from 1 species
CCUACGGGGGGCAGCAGUGGGGAAUUUUGGACAAUGGGCGCAAGCCUGAUCCAGCCAUUCCGCGUGAGUGAAGAAGGCCUUCGGGUUGUAAAGCUCUUUCGCAAGGGAAGAAAACUUAUCCUCUAACAUAGGAUGAGGUUGACGGUACCUUGAUAAGAAGCACCGGCUAACUACGUGCCAGCAGCCGCGGUAAUACGUACGGAAUGACUGUUAAUCAGAAUUACUGGGCGUAUUUUGUACGUAAGAUGUGAAAUCCCCGAGAUCAACUUGGGAACUGCGUUUGAAACUACAAGCCUAGAAUAGGUCAGAGGGGGGUAGAAUUCCACGUGUAGCAGUGAAAUGCGUAGAGAUGUGGAGGAAUAUCAAUGGCGAAGGCAGCCCCCUGGGAUCAUAUUGACGCUCAUGCACGAAAGCGUGGGGAGCAAACAGGAUUAGAUACCCCUGUAGUC